rnacentral:tRNA from 1 species
AGCUGAGCAGCUCAGGGGAAGAGCGCCGGUCUCAUAACCCGGAGGCCACUGGAUCGAAACCAGUCCAAGAUU